AUACGUAGGGUGCAAGCGUUAAUCGGAAUUACUGGGCGUAAAGCGUGCGCAGGCGGUUUUGUAAGAAAGUGGUGAAAUCCCCGGGCUCAACCUGGGAACUGCCAUUGUGACUGCAAGGCUGGAGUGCGGCAGAGGGGGAUGGAAUUCCGCGUGUAGCAGUGAAAUGCGUAGAUAUGCGGAGGAACACCGAUGGCGAAGGCAAUCCCCUGGGCCUGCACUGACGCUCAUGCACGAAAGCGUGGGGAGCAAACAGGAUUAGAUACCCUGGUAGUCCACGCCCUAAACGAUGUCAACUGGUUGUUGGGGAUUUAUUUUCUCAGUAACGAAGCUAACGCGUGAAGUUGACCGCCUGGGGAGUACGGCCGCAAGGUUAAAACUUAAAGGAAUUGACUGGG
rnacentral:rRNA from 1 species